CCUUAGAACAUUGAAAGGCUAGAAUUAGUAAACAACAACUUUGUUUGAGUCCAACAUGUGCACAGGGGCAAGAGGGGUGUUUUGUUUACAAACAUAUUUGCCGAUUCUCUGUUGUCAAGUCGACGCAAAUUUCCAACGGAGGAAAUUUUUAGCUAUAUUUUAACAACCAUUAUAACGUUAAUUUAACUUAUUUGUGUUGUAUUUUAUAGGAAAAUUUAAAAUAAAAAGUAUAAAUACUACAAUUAACCUAUUUUAAGAAUAAAUAUAAUAUCCUUAAGCAAAAAAAAAACAAAAUUACUAACAUUGUUAUCCCUAAAACUGCUUCUAAAAAAUUUGAAGCGACAACAUCGGAGCUUAAGCGUCUGAGCCAUACGCGUAGUGUCAUCUGGCAAACGGCUUUUUGUUUAUUUUCGGGAUUCGUGUAUUUUCUUUAAUCUUCGGUUUCAAAAGGAAAAAGGCCACAUUUUAGUGUUUUUUUAAAUUGCUAGGAUGGGAAAAACUUGUGUCGUUUGUGCCGCAUCAUGAUAAAAAGGUGAUUCAAGCCGAUCUUUUCACAAGUAAGUACCGAUACUUUCAUAACAUCACUUCAUGGGGUAACCAUCAUCAUAAACGUAGAAUAGGGGAUCUUAUAGAUAUAAACCUAAUAAAAACUUGAAUGUGAAAGUGUGCGUAAAAUACCAAAAUAUUCAUAUUUUUAAAUCUAAAUAUUUUUUUGAACAUAUUCAUCUAUCAAUAGGCUAUAAAAAUAUAAAACUAGAAUUUUGUCCCUGGUUUUAUUACAGGAUUUUAUGUUUUUUUGUUGUUGUUUUGGCAGAAAGAAGGCAUACCUAAUAACCAUGUACCUAUCUAUGUAUAGUUAUGUUUUUUUAAUAUAGACAUUAGGUAGAUAGAUGAAAUUACUAAUUUUUUAUUGCCGUUAAAGAAUUUUGAAAAUUAUUUAGAUAUUGAUAUCUAUGUAUAAAGUUAAUUUUGUCUUUCCCUAAAAUUUGGUCGAUAUUUUUUUUUGUUUUACCAUAUUGCAACUUACAAUAAUAUAUAUAGAAAUUGGCACCACAUAUUAAUUCAUUACUGUAAUUUUUUUUUGCUUUUUGAUUAAAUAUCAAAUACUUAUUAUAGAUUGCCUAAUAUAUGCCCAAAGGGAACAAUGGAUUUCAUUAAUGGAAAUCAACAAAAUUAAACAGAACAUAUUUGUUUGUUCAGAUCACAUCCUUAGAAGUGAUUUCUUAUAUAAGGAAGAUAAUAUUAUCAGUAGCCAGACUUAGACCAAACAGAUUAAAAAAAUCAGCUCUACCUCAAAGGAUUUCUGAUGCACUGGUUAAAAACACAGCAGCUGAUAAUUCAGUUAAUUUACCAAGUGAUUUACCCUUCAAAGCUGCAGGAAUAGCUUUCCUGAAGAGUGCAAAAACUUCUUUAGCUUCCAAAAUGGUAUAUAGUACAAACAGUGAAGCUGAUAUAGACAAAUCUGAUCAUUCAUCAUCAACAAUAACUGCAUCUGAGAUUAAUAGUUCUACAGUAACCGUGGGGUCUAGGUCAACAAUUACUAUUUCUCAUCCAAGCCCUUUUUGUUUAACUGGUACACAUUCCCUGACUCUGCCAAGGAAAAGGUAAAAAUACACUCAAAAUAGACUACUAGUUUUAUGCCAUGUAUCAUCCUAUUCUAUAUAUCUUAUUUAAAAGUGAUAUAGUAUUUUAUUGUGUUAUAUUUGUUUAAUUAAAUGCAAUUAAUUGGUAAUACUAUAUUUUUAUGUAUAUUAUUCUAGGGUAAAAUCAAAAUGAUAUCCUGAGGACCUAAGCACUGAUGAUUCCACCGUUUCAAAAGCUAAAUCACUUGUUACCAAAUUAUGGAAAAAAAAUAAAGAGCAAAAAAUUAAAAUUCGAAGAUUGCAAUAAACAAAUUUGCCCCAAAGAAAUUGAAUUAGAUGUCUCAAGUCAUUAUUAAAAUACUUAAGAAAUAAUAACAUGAUUUUUGAAAAAGCCCAACAUACUACAUAUUUUAUUUGACUUGUAAAAGUACUUGUUUGUAUAUUUUUACUAAUAAACUAUUUAAUCUAA
rnacentral:lncRNA from 1 species